CCUACGGGUGACAGCAGUGAGGAAUAUUGGUCAAUGGCCGGAAGGCUGAACCAGCCAAGUCGCGUGAGGGACGACUGCCCUAUGGGUUGUAAACCUCUUUUAUAAGGGAAGAAUAAAUGCUACGUGUAGCAUGAUGCCUGUACCUUAUGAAUAAGCAUCGGCUAACUCCGUGCCAGCAGCCGCGGUAAUACGGAGGAUCCGAGCGUUAUCCGGAUUCAUUGGGUUUAAAGGGUGCGUAGGUUGUUUUAUAAGUUAGCGGUGAAAUACCGAUGCUCAACAUCGGGGCUGCCGCUGAUACUGUAGGACUAGAGAUCGGAUGCAGCAGGCGGAAUGUGUAGUGUAGCGGUGAAAUGCAUAGAUAUUACACAGAACACCGAUUGCGAAGGCAGCUUGCUAGGCCGGAUCUGACACUGAUGCACGAAAGCGUGGGGAUCGAACAGGAUUAGAUACCCGAGUAGUC
rnacentral:rRNA from 1 species